AUGGUGUAAUGGUUAGCACUUUGGACUCUGAACCCAACGAACCGAGUUCAUAUCUCGGU
rnacentral:tRNA from 1 species